CUUUCCUUGAUGACGACUGGCGCACGGGUGAGUAACGCGUAUCCAACCUUCCCAUAACUACGGGAUAACCCGUUGAAAGACGGCCUAAUACCGUAUGACAUCGUUUGCUGACAUCAAAUAACGAUUAAAGGUUUAGCGGUUAUGGAUGGGGAUGCGUCUGAUUAGCUUGUUGGCGGGGUAACGGCCCACCAAGGCUACGAUCAGUAGGGGUUCUGAGAGGAAGGUCCCCCACAUUGGAACUGAGACACGGUCCAAACUCCUACGGGAGGCAGCAGUC
rnacentral:rRNA from 1 species